rnacentral:rRNA from 1 species
UUUACUCCUACGGGAGGCAGCAGUGGGGAAUAUUGCACAAUGGGCGCAAGCCUGAUGCAGCGACGCCGCGUGAGGGAUGACGGCCUUCGGGUUGUAAACCUCUUUCAGUAGGGAAGAAGCGAAAGUGACGGUACCUGCAGAAGAAGCGCCGGCUAACUACGUGCCAGCAGCCGCGGUAAUACGUAGGGCGCAAGCGUUAUCCGGAAUUAUUGGGCGUAAAGAGCUCGUAGGCGGUUUGUCGCGUCUGCCGUGAAAGUCCGGGGCUCAACUCCGGAUCUGCGGUGGGUACGGGCAGACUAGAGUGAUGUAGGGGAGACUGGAAUUCCUGGUGUAGCGGUGAAAUGCGCAGAUAUCAGGAGGAACACCGAUGGCGAAGGCAGGUCUCUGGGCAUUAACUGACGCUGAGGAGCGAAAGCAUGGGGAGCGAACAGGAUUAGAUACCCUGGUAGUCCAUGCCGUAAACGUUGGGCACUAGGUGUGGGGGACAUUCCACGUUUUCCGCGCCGUAGCUAACGCAUUAAGUGCCCCGCCUGGGGAGUACGGCCGCAAGGCUAAAACUCAAAGGAAUUGACGGGGGCCCGCACAAGCGGCGGAGCAUGCGGAUUAAUUCGAUGCAACGCGAAGAACCUUACCAAGGCUUGACAUGGACCGGACCGGGCUGAAACAGUCCUUUCCCCCUG